rnacentral:lncRNA from 1 species
CACUUUUUAGGCGUUUAUAUAAUUUAUUUUAUUGUGUACAUGUAUCGUUACUUGUAACGAUCCAGCUCCCACGUGGGAAAAAUCGUUGACUAUUAUUCAGACGUUUGAUAUAUAUAUAUUACCACACUCUGUUUACUUGUCACUUCCUUCAGUAUCUAUCACGAUUUUGUAUAUCUAUCACCACUCUGUAUAUCAAUCACCACUCUGAAUAUCAAUCACCACUAUGUACAUCUAUCACCAGUUUAGAAUAUUUAACCCCAGUCUCAAUAGAAAGAUUUUAUACUUCUAAAAAGAUAUGGUUUCGAAGAUCAUUUAUUUCAAAAUAGGGAGAAAAUUUAUCAAUUGCGAUCAGUUCCAAAAGUUGACCUUUAACCUAGACUUAAAUUUCAAGGUCAUAGAUGAUGAAUCUCAAAUCAUAUGACUUAUUUUUCCACAUUCCAAUACACUAUGACAGCAUGUUUUUUUUUACGUCUCAUACACCACAAAGUACCUACUUUGAGCAGAAAAAACACAACGUAGCAGAAAGGACCACAACUUUUAGGAGUUUUUAGAGCACUAAGGAUCACUGUUUUGUAAGGAUAUAGUAUUUUUUAAAAUCUGUAUUUCGGAAAUGUCAAUUAUAUAUGCUUUGCUUUAUCAAAUUUCUUUUUGGACAAAAACAAAGAAUCUACAGAAAUGUUUUUACCUUAUGAAUCUUGAUUUGCUGUGACGAACGAAAAGUGCACAUGGUGCAAUAAAAAAAGGACUGCACAGCUGUCUUUUUGGUAUAUGUUUCGUUGGGCUGUUUAAUGAAACAGAUAAUAUACCUGUCUAGAUAACCUCGAUAUGUAAUUGUAAUAAAAGUGUAUCCUCAUGCCGUGAAAUGUAUAGCCUUGAAGAAUGUCAACAAAUGAUGAACGAUGUCUUUGAUCAUCGCUUGUGUAAAUAUUAUUAAUAUAUAUUAUUGUAUUUGAUAAAGUUUACUUGUUUU